GAAUCUAAGCUCAGUUAGUUAAAGCAUGGUACUGAUAACACCAAGGUUGCAGGUUUGAUUCCUGUAUGGGACA